rnacentral:rRNA from 1 species
GACGAACGCUGGCGGCGUGCUUAACACAUGCAAGUCGAACGGAAAGGCCCUGCUUUUGUGGGGUGCUCGAGUGGCGAACGGGUGAGUAACACGUGAGUAACCUGCCCUUGACUUUGGGAUAACUUCAGGAAACUGGGGCUAAUACCGGAUAGGAGCUCCUGCUGCAUGGUGGGGGUUGGAAAGUUUCGGCGGUUGGGGAUGGACGCGCGGCUUAUCAGCUUGUUGGGGGGGUAGUGGCGUACCAAGGCUUUGACGGGUAGCCGGCCUGAGCGGGUGACCGGCCACAUUGGGACUGAGAUACGGCCCAGACUCCUACGGGAGGCAGCAGUGGGGAAUAUUGCACAAUGGGCCGAAGCCUGAUGCAGCAACGCCGCGUGCGGGAUGACGGCCUUCGGGUUGUAAACCGCUUUCGCCUGUGACGAAGCGUGAGUGACGGUAAUGGGUAAAGAAGCACCGGCUAACUACGUG